UACAGAGGUCUCAAGCGUUGUUCGGAUUCAUUGGGCGUAAAGGGUGCGUAGGCGGCGCGGUAAGUCGGGUGUGAAAUCUUGGAGCUUAACUCCGAAACUGCAUUCGAUACUGCCGUGCUUGAGGACUGGAGAGGAGAGUGGAAUUCCUGGUGUAGCGGUGAAAUGCGCAGAUAUCAGGAAGAACACCCGUGGCGAAGGCGGCUCUCUGGAACGCAACUGACGCUGAGACGCGAAAGCGUGGGGAGCAAACAGG
rnacentral:rRNA from 1 species